GACGAACGCUGGCGGCGUGCUUAACACAUGCAAGUCGAACGAUGAAGCCCAGCUUGCUGGGUGGAUUAGUGGCGAACGGGUGAGUAACACGUGGGCAACCUGCCCCAAACUCUGGGAUAACUCCUCGAAAGAGGUGCUAAUACCGGAUACGAACUAGCCAGACAUCUGUACUAGUUGGAAAGUUUUUCGGUUUGGGAUGGGCCCGCGGCCUAUCAGCUUGUUGGGGAGGUAACGGCUCACCAAGGCUACGACGGGUAACCGGCCUGAGAGGGCGACCGGUCACACUGGGACUGAGACACGGCCCAGACUCCUACGGGAGGCAGCAGUGGGGAAUAUUGCGCAUUGGGCGAAAGCCUGACGCAGCGACGCCGCGUGAGGGAUGAAGGUCUUCGGAUCGUAAACCUCUUUCAGUAGGGACGAAGCGAAAGUGACGGUACCUAAAGAAGAAGCACCGGCUAACUACGUGCCAGCCGCCGCCGUAA
rnacentral:rRNA from 1 species